GAUUAACGCUGGCGGCGUGCCUAACACAUGCAAGUCGAGCGGCAGCGAGUUUUACACUGAAUUCUGGAAGCUUCUAGUUGAAAGAGAAGAUUUAUUCAAGAAUUUUGUGUAAAAUGUCGGCGAGCGGCGGACGGCUGAGUAACGCGUGGGAACGUACCCCAAAGUGAGGGAUAACGCAUCGAAAGGUGUGCUAAUACCGCAUAUGGUCUUCGGAUUAAAGCCUUCGGGCGCUUUGGGAACGGCCUGCGUAAGAUUAGAUAGUUGGUGGGGUAAUGGCCUACCAAGUCGACGAUCUUUAACUGGUUUGAGAGGAUGAGCAGUCAGACUGGAACUGAGACACGGUCCAGACUCCUACGGGAGGCAGCAGUGAGGAAUCUUCCACAAUGGGCGAAAGCCUGAUGGAGCAACGCCGCGUGCAGGAUGAAGGCCUUCGGGUUGUAAACUGCUUUUAUAAGUGAGGAUUAUGACAGUAACUUAUGAAUAAGGAUCGGCUAACUACGUG
rnacentral:rRNA from 1 species